GGACACUGUCAGAGGUGAAAUUCUUAGAGUGACACAGGGAGGUAGUGACAAGAAAUAACAAUACGGGGCUUAAAGUCUUGUAAUUGGAAUGAUGGGAAUUUAAACCUCUUCCAGAGUAUCAAUUGGAGGGCAAGUCUGGUGCCAGCAGCCGCGGUAAUUCCAGCUCCAAUAGCGUAUAUUAAAAUUGUUGCAGUUAAAAAGCUUGUAGUUGAAUUCUGCUGCAUUGUCGAGGCCCACCGGAGU
rnacentral:rRNA from 1 species